rnacentral:rRNA from 1 species
CACGGAUCCAGAGUUUGAUCCUGGCUCAGAUUGAACGCUGGCGGCAGGCCUAACACAUGCAAGUCGAACGGUAACAGGAAGAAGCUUGCUUCUUUGCUGACGAGUGGCGGACGGGUGAGUAAUGUCUGGGAAACUGCCUGAUGGAGGGGGAUAACUACUGGAAACGGUAGCUAAUACCGCAUAACGUCGCAAGACCAAAGAGGGGGACCUUCGGGCCUCUUGCCAUCGGAUGUGCCCAGAUGGGAUUAGCUUGUUGGUGGGGUAACGGCUCACCAAGGCGACGAUCCCUAGCUGGUCUGAGAGGAUGACCAGCCACACUGGAACUGAGACACGGUCCAGACUCCUACGGGAGGCAGCAGUGGGGAAUAUUGCACAAUGGGCGCAAGCCUGAUGCAGCCAUGCCGCGUGUAUGAAGAAGGCCUUCGGGUUGUAAAGUACUUUCAGCGGGGAGGAAGGGAGUAAAGUUAAUACCUUUGCUCAUUGACGUUACCCGCAGAAGAAGCACCGGCUAACUCCGUGCCAGCAGCCGCGGUAAUACGGAGGGUGCAAGCGUUAAUCGGAAUUACUGGGCGUAAAGCGCACGCAGGCGGUUUGUUAAGUCAGAUGUGAAAUCCCCGGGCUCAACCUGGGAACUGCAUCUGAUACUGGCAAGCUUGAGUCUCGUAGAGGGGGGUAGAACUCCAGGUGUAGCGGUGAAAUGCGUAGAGAUCUGGAGGAAUACCGGUGGCGAAGGCGGCCCCCUGGACGAAGACUGACGCUCAGGUGCGAAAGCGUGGGGAGCAAACAGGAUUAGAUACCCUGGUAGUCCACGCCGUAAACGAUGUCGACUUGGAGGUUGUGCCCUUGAGGCGUGGCUUCCGGAGCUAACGCGUUAAGUCGACCGCCUGGGGAGUACGGCCGCAAGGUUAAAACUCAAAUGAAUUGACGGGGGCCCGCACAAGCGGUGGAGCAUGUGGUUUAAUUCGAUGCAACGCGAAGAACCUUACCUGGUCUUGACAUCCACGGAAGUUUUCAGAGGUGAGAAUGUGCCUUCGGGAACCGUGAGACAGGUGCUGCAUGGCUGUCGUCAGCUCGUGUUGUGAAAUGUUGGGUUAAGUCCCGCAACGAGCGCAACCCUUAUCCUUUGUUGCCAGCGGUCCGGCCGGGAACUCAAAGGAGACUGCCAGUGAUAAACUGGAGGAAGGUGGGGAUGACGUCAAGUCAUCAUGGCCCUUACGACCAGGGCUACACACGUGCUACAAUGGCGCAUACAAAGAGAAGCGACCUCGCGAGAGCAAGCGGACCUCAUAAAGUGCGUCGUAGUCCGGAUUGGAGUCUGCAACUCGACUCCAUGAAGUCGGAAUCGCUAGUAAUCGUGGAUCAGAAUGCCACGGUGAAUACGUUCCCGGGCCUUGUACACACCGCCCGUCACACCAUGGGAGUGGGUUGCAAAAGAAGUAGGUAGCUUAACCUUCGGGAGGGCGCUUACCACUUUGUGAUUCAUGACUGGGGUGAAGUCGUAACAAGGUAACCGUAAGCUUCAC